GAUAAACGCUGGCGGUAGGCCUAACACAUGCAAGUCGAACGGCAGCACAGAGGAGCUUGCUCCUUGGGUGGCGAGUGGCGGACGGGUGAGGAAUACAUCGGAAUCUACUCUGUCGUGGGGGAUAACGUAGGGAAACUUACGCUAAUACCGCAUACGACCUACGGGUGAAAGCAGGGGACCUUCGGGCCUUGCGCGAUUGAAUGAGCCGAUGUCGGAUUAGCUAGUUGGCGGGGUAAAGGCCCACCAAGGCGACGAUCCGUAGCUGGUCUGAGAGGAUGAUCAGCCACACUGGAACUGAGACACGGUCCAGACUCCUACGGGAGGCAGCAGUGGGGAAUAUUGGACAAUGGGCGCAAGCCUGAUCCAGCCAUACCGCGUGGGUGAAGAAGGCCUUCGGGUUGUAAAGCCCUUUUGUUGGGAAAGAAAUCCAGCUGGCUAAUACCCGGUUGGGAUGACGGUACCCAAAGAAUAAGCACCGGCUAACUUCGUACAGCCGCCGCCGUAA
rnacentral:rRNA from 1 species